AUUCAAUUUGGUUACAAGUACGCGUACAAUACGAUUCCUUGUCUCUUCUCUCAGCGUCUCUCUCCAGGGUACGAUUGCAGCAGGAAAGAGCAGUUCGUGUGCUCGUCCUUGGUGGUGUGAGAUCGAUCCAAGUUGCCCCAAGGACGUUCAGAUCGAUCUAGCCCUCUAUCCUCUUUUCCCUUUCCUGAGAAAAGGUUGUUUCUCCAAAAUUGUGAAAGAUUUUUUGGAGGUUUGAAUUUGAAAUUCACCCUAAAAAAUCUACCCGAUUUUCCUCCCUUUCCAACCCUAAUUUUACAGCUAUAAUUAGGGCUGACAGGUUUUCACUAAGAGAAGCGCAAAAUAUACCAAGAGUAAACCAAGCGAGCGUUCCAUUAAGUUUGCUGCGACAUUCAAGAUUUCGUUUGGGUUUCUCUGUUGCUGUCAGCAUCUGUGCUUUGUGUGAUGAAGGUGGUCGUUCUACUGCCCGUUUAUUUUCUCAGUUGCUGCUCCAAAAGAGGAUCAUCAAUAGGAGCUUUGUUGAUAUAUUCGAGAGUUCAAGCUAGCUAUGGUGAGCCUCCUUGAUUUUGGAGGAUUUCAUUUACUUUUCAGUUUAGUCAGGAUAUUGUGUGUCCUAUCCGAACUUCCAUCAUUGUCAUUAAGAGGUUUCAUAGAUAGAUAAAUAAGUUUUAGAAGUCUUCAUUUAUUUUGUUCAAUAUUUUAAAGACUAAAGUUGUCUUUCAUGGUGAGUUGUAUAUAUUUUAUUAUACAAAAUUUUUUUUGAACUUAAAAUUUAUUUAUGUUUUAUGAACUUUUCUUUAAGUUUUAAGUUUUUGCAUGUUUAUGUUAGUCUUCCGCUUGUAGUCAACUAGGAUGAUGAUUCUUUUGGGGACCAGCGAUGGUUCUUGAGUGUCGAUCAUGUCCAGGGUGUAGACUCGAGUCAUGACAUAUAUACAAUGCCUAAGGGGUUAUUAAGACAUACUGAUUGUCUAUGAGGAUAUAAUAUUAACAAUAUAGGGUAUAUACAUUGAAUUGCACACGUCGAGCUUAUGAGGGAUCAAGUAGGUAGUGUUGUUUAUUGUUUAUAUUUGUCGAGCUUAUGAGGGCC
rnacentral:lncRNA from 1 species